CUACAGCCAAUUAAGCUGACUCAUGGGGGUGGUAUGUGACAGAUGAAUGAGCACCCUCCUUGGUAGUUCGUGCUGCCUGUUGCUUGUACAGUUGCCUUAAGAGAUCUUGGUGACAGUU
rnacentral:snoRNA from 1 species